GCUGUACUGGUGAAGCGGUAUCACAUGUCGUUGUGGCCGACACGUUCCUGGUUCGACUCCAGGGUGCAGCA